GAUGAACGCUAGCGGGAGGCCUAACACAUGCAAGCCGAGCGGUAGAGUCUCUUCGGAGUCUUGAGAGCGGCGCACGGGUGCGGAACACGUGUGCAACCUGCCUUUAUCUGGGGGAUAGCCUUUCGAAAGGAAGAUUAAUACCCCAUAAUAUACUGGAUGGCAUCAUCUGGUAUUGAAAACUCCGGUGGAUAGAGAUGGGCACGCGCAAGAUUAGAUAGUUGGUUAGGUAACGGCUCACCAAGUCAGCGAUCUUUAGGGGGCCUGAGAGGGUAGUGCCCCACACUGGGACAGGGACAAGGGGCAGACUCAUACGGGAGGGAGCAGUGAGGAAGAUUGGAAAAUGGGUGAGAGCCUGAUCCAGCGAACCCGGGUGAAGGAAGACGGCCCUAUGGGUUGUAAACUUCUUUUGUAUAGGGAUAAACGUAGGUACGGGUAUCUAGCUGACGGUAAUAUACGAAUAAGCACCGGCUAACUACGUG
rnacentral:rRNA from 1 species